AUACGGAGGACGCGAGCGUUAUCCGGAUUCAUUGGGUUUAAAGGGUGCGCAGGCGGCCGUGCAAGUCAGCGGUGAAAGCCCGGGGCUCAACCCCGGAAGUGCCGUUGAUACUGCAUGGCUGGAAUGCGGUCGAGGCGGGCGGAACGGGGGGUGGAGCGGGGAAAUGCGUAGAUAUGCCACAGAACGCCGAUAGCGGAGGCAGCUCGCCAGGCCUGCAUUGACGCUCGGGCACGAAAGCGUGGGGAUCGAACAGGAUUAGAUACCCUGGUAGCCCACGCCGUAAACGAUGGGCGCUCGUCGUCGGCGGCAGACAGUCGGCGGCCAAGCGAAAGCGAUAAGCGCCCCACCCGGGGAGUACGGUCGCAAGGCUGAAACUUAAAGGAAUUGACGGGG
rnacentral:rRNA from 1 species